rnacentral:rRNA from 1 species
CAGUCGCCGCGGUAAUACGAAGGGUGCAAGCGUUACUCGGAAUUACUGGGCGUAAAGCGUGCGUAGGUGGUUGUUUAAGUCUGCUGUGAAAGCCCUGGGCUCAACCUGGGAAUUGCAGUGGAUACUGGGUCACUAGAGUGUGGUAGAGGAUAGUGGAAUUUCCGGUGUAGCAGUGAAAUGCGUAGAGAUCGGAAGGAACAUCUGUGGCGAAGGCGACUAUCUGGGCCAACACUGACACUGAGGCACGAAAGCGUGGGGAGCAAACAGGAUUAGAUACCCGCGUAGUCCCUGUCUCUUAUAC